GGAGGGGUGGCCGAGUGGUUAAAGGCAGCAGACUGUAAAUCUGCCCGCGUUAGCGUACACAGGUUCGAAUCCUGUCCCCUCCACCA
rnacentral:tRNA from 1 species